UGCAUCUGUCUCCCAUCCAAGUACUAACCAGGCCCGACCCUGCUUAUCUUCCGAGAUCAGACGAGAUCGGGCGCAUUCAGGGUAGUAUGGCCGUAGACUCUACAAGUUAGUUUUUUUGUUUUUGAUUAGAGCCAG